rnacentral:rRNA from 1 species
GACGAACGCUGGCGGCGUGCUUAACACAUGCCAGUCGAACGGAAAGGCCCUGCUUUUGUGGGGUGCUCGAGUGGCGAAAGGGUGAGUAACACGUGAGUAACCUGCCCUUGACUUUGGGAUAACUUCAGGAAACUGGGGCUAAUACCGGAUAGGAGCUCCUGCUGCAUGGUGGGGGUUGGAAAGUUUCGGCGGUUGGGGAUGGACUCGCGGCUUAUCAGCUUGUUGGUGGGGUAGUGGCUUACCAAGGCUUUGACGGGUAGCCGGCCUGAGAGGGUGACCGGCCACAUUGGGACUGAGAUACGGCCCAGACUCCUACGGGAGGCAGCAGUGGGGAAUAUUGCACAAUGGGCGGAAGCCUGAUGCAGCAACGCCGCGUGCGGGAUGACGGCCUUCGGGUUGUAAACCGCUUUCGCCUGUGACGAAGCGUGAGUGACGGUAAUGGGUAAAGAAGCACCGGCUAACUACGUG